GGGAGUGGCAAGCGUUAUCCGGAAUUAUUGGGCGUAAAGCGUCCGCAGGCGGCCCUUCAAGUCUGCUGUUAAAAAGUGGAGCUUAACUCCAUCAUGGCAGUGGAAACUGUUGGGCUUGAAUGUGGUAUGGGCAAAAGGAAUUCCCCGUGUUUCGGUGAAAUGCGUAUAUAUCCGGAAGAACACCAGUGGCGAAGGCGCUCUGCUGGGCCAUCACUGACGCUCAUGGACCAAAGCCAGGGGAACCAAAGGGAUUAAAUACCCCUGUAUUCCUGGCCCUAAACGAUGAACACUAAGUGUCGGGGGAAUCCACCCCCUCCGUGUCGUUACCAACCCGUUAAGUGUUCCGCCUGGGGAGUACGCACGCAAGUGUGAAACUCCAAAGAAUUGACGGGGGCCCGCACAA
rnacentral:rRNA from 1 species